UACGAAGGGGGCUAGCGUUGCUCGGAAUCACUGGGCGUAAAGCGCACGUAGGCGGCUUUUUAAGUCAGGGGUGAAAUCCUGGAGCUCAACUCCAGAACUGCCUUUGAUACUGAGAAGCUUGAGUCCGGGAGAGGUGAGUGGAACUGCGAGUGUAGAGGUGAAAUUCGUAGAUAUUCGCAAGAACACCAGUGGCGAAGGCGGCUCACUGGCCCGGUACUGACGCUGAGGUGCGAAAGCGUGGGAAGCAAACAGG
rnacentral:rRNA from 1 species